UAAAUUUCCAAUUGAGUUGCAGCAUUUUUAGAGAAAUAUCAAUGUUUCCCUAAUGUGCUAUUGAUUGUUGGCAACAUAGCUCAUGUAUUAAAGUCUUCUGUCACAGUUGACUCAGCGAGAAUGAAGACAUUGAUACACUUUUGCAUUAUGGAAUACACAAGUUGGCAGUUCCUCGUCCACUGCCACCCAAAUACAGGUA
rnacentral:lncRNA from 1 species